UGCACAGCAGGAUGAAGAUCACAACGGCUAUCAGACCUGGGGAGGGAAGAGGAGACAGCGCCACAUCAGAAUGUGUGUCCACACAGAAACCCUACUGCCUUCAUGGCUUAGCACCUAAGCAAGAUUUACAUAAAGGAUUCCUGACACACUGGAAACUGUUCCUACAACUCUCCAGUGGAGACUGAGUGGCUGUCCCUACUGUUGAUGACAGACAUUAUUGACAGCUGGCCUCAUCUCCCUGCAGUGAUCUGAGGUACCUCCUGGCUCUCUGACCCCGGACGAGAGGAAUAAUCACUGAUCAAGACCUCCACUAUGCAGAAUGAUGAGGAACAAGGGGCAGAGAGAAUUCCAGGGACCACCCCAUGGGCACAGCUGAGAAAUAUUAAAAUAAAC